AACGCUGGCGGCGUGCCUAACACAUGCAAGUCGCACGAGAAAGGGACUUCGGUCCUGAGUAAAGUGGCGCACGGGUGAGUAACACGUGAAUGAUCUACCUCCGAGUGGGGAAUAACUGAGGGAAACCUUAGCUAAUACCGCAUAACACUUACGAGUCAAAGCAGCAAUGCGCUUGGAGAGGAGUUCGCGGCAGAUUAGCUAGUUGGCGGCGUAAUGGCCCACCAAGGCGAUGAUCUGUAUCCGGCCUGAGAGGGCGCACGGACACACUGGAACUGAAACACGGUCCAGACUCCUACGGGAGGCAGCAGUGGGGAAUUUUGCGCAAUGGGGGAAACCCUGACGCAGCAACGCCGCGUGGAGGAUGAAGUCUCUUGGGACGUAAACUCCUUUCGAUAGGGAAGUAUAAUGACGGUACCUAUAGAAGAAGCCCCGGCUAAAUC
rnacentral:rRNA from 1 species